GGCGGUUCUCAGGUGAUGGACCCCGGAAUCAGGCUCCCUCCUCUCUGGUUCUGGGUGCAUCACCCGAGAACCGCA
rfam:Myotis brandtii contig197223, whole genome shotgun sequence.